AACAACGAAGAGUUUGAUCCUGGCUCAGGAUGAACGCUAGCGGCAGGCUUAACACAUGCAAGUCGAGGGGUAACAGGAAUUGCUUGCAAUUCGCUGACGACCGGCGCACGGGUGCGUAACGCGUAUGCAACCUACCUUNUACAGGGGGAUAGCCCAGAGAAAUUUGGAAUAAUACCCCAUACGAUCAUUUAUUGNCAUCAAUAAAUGAAGAAAACUCCGGUGGUAGAAGAUGGGCAUGCGUCCUAUUAGUUAGUUGGUGAGGUAACGGCUCACCAAGACUUCGAUAGGUAGGGGUCCUGAGAGGGAGAUCCCCCACACUGGUACUGAGACACGGACCAGGCUCCGACGGGAGGCAGCAGUGAGGAAUAUUGGACAAUGGAGGCACCUCUGAUCCAGCCAUGCCGCGUGCAGGAAGAC
rnacentral:rRNA from 1 species